CCUCGGAUCAGGUAGGAAUACCCGCUGAACUUAAGCAUAUCAUACAAUAAGCGGAGGA
rnacentral:rRNA from 1 species